CAUAAAGGUUUGGUCCUGACUUUGCUGUCGGCUCUGACUAGAUUUACACAUGCAAGUCUCCGCACCCCCGUGAGAAUGCCCUUAGCCCCCCACCGGGGGCAAGGAGCUGGUAUCAGGCACGCACUGCAGCCCAAGACGCCUUGCUAAGCCACACCCCCAAGGGAAUUCAGCAGUGAUAGAUAUUAAGCCAUAAGCGAAAGCUUGACUUACUCAAGGUCAACAUAGGGCUGGUAAAUCUCGUGCCAGCCACCGCGGUUAUACGAGCAAGCUCGAGUUGACAGGUGUCGGCGUAAAGGGUGGUCAGGGAAAGAACAACUAAAGUCGAACACCUCCCCAACUGUAAUAUGCGCCCGGAGGCAUGAAGAUCUACUACGAAAGUGGCUUUACUUUACUUGAAUCCACGACAGCUAAGAAACAAACUGGGAUUAGAUACCCCACUAUGCUUAGCUAUAAACUUUGAUGUUAAUGUACAACUAGCAUCCGCCAGGGGACUACAAGCACUAGCUUAAAACCCAAAGGACUUGGCGGUACCUUAGACCCCCCUAGAGGAGCCUGUUCUAGAACCGAUGAUCCCCGUUGAACCUCACCACCCUUGGCUUAAUUCUGUCUGUAUACCGCCGUCGCCAGCUUACCCUGUGAAGGAUUUAUAGUAAGCAUAAUGGGGAUCCCCCAAAACGUCAGGUCGAGGUGCAGUGUAUGGGGUGGGAAGAAAUGGGCUACAUUUCCUAAUGUAGGAUACCACGAAUAUUGCUUUGAAAUCAGCAUAGAAGGUGGAUUUAGCAGUAAGAAGGAAGCAGAGAGUUCUUCUGAAGUUGGCUCUGAGGUGCGUACACACCGCCCGUCACCCUCCCCGCGUUAAUCGUUUUGUCUAAUUAAGAAGUGAGCCAAACAAAGGGGAGGCAAGUCGUAACAUGGUAAGUGUACUGGAAAGUGCACUUGGAUUAAACAGGAUGUGGCUUAAGUAGAAAAGCAUUUCUCUUACACUGAAAAGACACCCGUGAAACCCGGGUCGUCCUGAGCUGAAUAGCUAGCCCAACAGAUGAAGUGCCCGCAAGAUGCCGACAAAUGGCCGCACCUCAGCACGAAACUAAAAAAUGUUAACAAACCAUUUUUCCAUCUUAGUAUAGGCGAUAGAAAAGAAU
rnacentral:ncRNA from 1 species